UACAGAGGUCUCAAGCGUUGUUCGGAUUCAUUGGGCGUAAAGGGUGCGUAGGUGGCGCCAUAAGUCAGGUGUGAAAUCUCGGGGCUCAACCCCGAAACUGCAUUUGAUACUGUGGUGCUCGAGUACUGGAGAGGAGAUUGGAAUUUACGGUGUAGCAGUGAAAUGCGUAGAUAUCGUAAGGAAGACCAGUGGCGAAGGCGAAUCUCUGGACAUUUCCUGACGCUGAGGCACGAAAGCCAGGGGAGCAAACGGG
rnacentral:rRNA from 1 species